AUGAAAGUAUGGAAUCAAUUUGGAGAGGGAAGAUUUGGUUUUGUUGAGAGGUUUCUUAGAUCGGUUUUGGUGGAAUGUUGCUUCGAAGAAGAUGAUGUAGUAAGGUGGUUUAUAUGUGGAUCUAUAGAAAAAGAUAGAAAUGUGAUGAAAUCCGAAGUUGUAGUCUCGCAGUGGUGGGGGAGUUUCAGAUUGUGGAAAGAUAUGAGGAGAAGGUGGUGA